rnacentral:rRNA from 1 species
ACGGGUGAGUAACGCGUGGGAAUCUACCCAUCUCUACGGAAUAACGCAUGGAAACGUGUGCUAAUACCGUAUACGUCCUUCGGGAGAAAGAUUUAUCGGAGAUGGAUGAGCCCGCGUUGGAUUAGCUAGUUGGUGGGGUAAAGGCCUACCAAGGCGACGAUCCAUAGCUGGUCUGAGAGGAUGAUCAGCCACACUGGGACUGAGACACGGCCCAGACUCCUACGGGAGGCAGCAGUGGGGAAUAUUGGACAAUGGGCGCAAGCCUGAUCCAGCCAUGCCGCGUGAGUGAUGAAGGCCCUAGGGUUGUAAGGCUCUUUCACCGGUGAAGAUAAUGACGGUAACCGGAGAAGAAGCCCCGGCUAACUUCGUGCCAGCAGCCGCGGUAAUACGAAGGGGGCUAGCGUUGUUCGGAUUUACUGGGCGUAAAGCGCACGUAGGCGGACUAUUAAGUCAGGGGUGAAAUCCCGGGGCUCAACCCCGGAACUGCCUUUGAUACUGGUAGUCUUGAGUUCGAGAGAGGUGAGUGGAAUUCCGAGUGUAGAGGUGAAACUCGUAGA